UACGUAGGGUGCAAGCGUUGUCCGGAAUUAUUGGGCGUAAAGAGCGUGUAGGCGGCCCGAUUAGUCCGCUGUGAAAGUCCAGGGCUCAACCCUGGAAUGCCGGUGGAUACUGUCGGGCUAGAGUCCGGAAGGGGCGAGUGGAAUUCCUGGUGUAGCGGUGAAAUGCGCAGAUAUCAGGAGGAACACCGAUGGCGAAGGCAGCCCCCUGGGCUGAGAUUGACGCUCAGGCACGAAAGCGUGGGGAGCAAACAGG
rnacentral:rRNA from 1 species